AUUAGCUAGUUGGUGGGGUAAAGGCCUACCAAGGCGACGAUCUGUAGCGGGUCUGAGAGGAUGAUCCGCCACACUGGGACUGAGACACGGCCCAGACUCCUACGGGAGGCAGCAGUGGGGAAUAUUGGACAAUGGGGGAAACUCUGAUCCAGCCAUGCCGCGUGUGUGAAGAAGGCCUUAUGGUUGUAAAGCACUUUAAGCGAGGAGGAGGCUACUGAGACUAAUACUCUUGGAUAGUGGACGUUACUCGCAGAAUAAGCACCGGCUAACUCUGUGCCAGCAGCCGCGGUAAUACAGAGGGUGCGAGCGUUAAUCGGAUUUACUGGGCGUAAAGCGUGCGUAGGCGGCUUUUUAAGUCGGAUGUGAAAUCCCCGAGCUUAACUUGGGAAUUGCAUUCGAUACUGGGAAGCUAGAGUAUGGGAGAGGAUGGUAGAAUUCCAGGUGUAGCGGUGAAAUGCGUAGAGAUCUGGAGGAAUACCGAUGGCGAAGGCAGCCAUCUGGCCUAAUACUGACGCUGAGGUACGAAAGCAUGGGGAGCAAACAGGAUUAGAUACCCUGGUAGUCCAUGCCGUAAACGAUGUCUACUAGCCGUUGGGGCCUUUGAGGCUUUAGUGGCGCAGCUAACGCGAUAAGUAGACCGCCUGGGGAGUACGGUCGCAAGACUAAAACUCAAAUGAAUUGACGG
rnacentral:rRNA from 1 species